rnacentral:rRNA from 1 species
CCCUUAUGUCCAGGGCUACACACGUGCUACAAUGGCCGGUACAAAGGGCAGCAAAGCCGCGAGGUGGAGCCAAAUCCCAGAAAGCCGGUCUCAGUUCGGAUUGGAGUCUGCAACUCGACUCCAUGAAGUUGGAAUCGCUAGUAAUCGCGGAUCAGCAUGCCGCGGUGAAUACGUUCCCGGGCCUU